rnacentral:rRNA from 1 species
AUUGAACGCUGGCGGCAUGCCUUACACAUGCAAGUCGAACGGCAGCACGGACUUCAGUCUGGUGGCGAGUGGCGAACGGGUGAGUAAUAUAUCGGAACAUACCCUAGAGUGGGGGAUAACGUAGCGAAAGUUACGCUAAUACCGCAUACGAACUAAGGUUGAAAGCGGGGGAUCUUCGGACCUCGUGCUCAUGGAGUGGCCGAUAUCUGAUUAGCUAGUUGGUGAGGUAAAGGCUCACCAAGGCGACGAUCAGUAGCUGGUUUGAGAGAACGACCAGCCACACUGGAACUGAGACACGGUCCAGACUCCUACGGGAGGCAGCAGUGGGGAAUUUUGGACAAUGGGCGCAAGCCUGAUCCAGCAAUGCCGCGUGAGUGAAGAAGGCCUU